CGGCGGCCGUAACUAUAACGGUCCUAAGGUAGCGAAAUUCCUUGUCGGGUAAGUUCCGACCUGCACGAAUGGCGUAACGAUCUCCACACUGUCUCGGCCAGAGACUCGGUGAAAUUGCAGUCGCGGUGAAAAUUCCGUGUACCCGCAGAAAGACGGAAAGACCCUGUGCACCUUUACUAUAGCUUGACAUUGGAUUUUGGGCCUGCAUGUGUAGGAUAGGUGGGAGGCUGUGAACCCUGUACGCCAGUAUGGGGGGAGCCAUCCUUGAAAUACCACCCUUGCAUGUUUAAGAUCCUAACUUCUUCCGGUUAUCCCGGAGAAAGACAGUGUCUGGCGGGUAGUUUGACUGGGGCGGUCGCCUCCUAAAGUGUAACGGAGGCAUGCAAAGGUUCCCUCAGCCUGAUCGGAAACCAGGCGCUGAGUGCAAACGCAUAAGGGAGCUUGACUGUAAGAGAGACAUCUCGAACAGGAACGAAAGUUGGCGUUAGUGAUCCGGUGGUCCCGAAUGGAAGGGCCAUCGCUCAAAGGAUAAAAGGUACGCCGGGGAUAACAGGCUGAUCGCAUCCAAGAGUUCACAUCGACGAUGCGGUUUGGCACCUCGAUGUCGGCUCAUCACAUCCUGGGGCUGAAGCAGGUCCCAAGGGUACGGCUGUUCGCCGUUUAAAGUGGUACGCGAGCUGGGUUUAAAACGUCGUGAGACAGUUUGGUCCCUAUCUUCUGUGGGCGAAGGAGAAUUGAGAGGGCCUGUCCCUAGUACGAGAGGACCGGGAUGGACGCACCCCUGGUGAUCCUGUUGUCGCGCCAGCGGCAUAGCAGGGUAGCUAUGUGCGGAAGGGAUAACCGCUGAAAGCAUCUAAGCGGGAAGCCUGCCUCAAGAUAAGUUCUCCCCUCGAAAGAGCUGAAGGGCCCGGGUAGACUACCCGGUCGAUAGGCUGGAGGUGUAAGCGCGGCGACGUGCUCAGCUGACCAGUACUAAUAGCCCGAGCGGCUUAUUUUU
rnacentral:rRNA from 1 species